UUUCAUCAUAUCACACANUGUCGUAUGGCUAGAAUGAAAUCAUGAUAUACAUAUAUACAACUUUCAGCAACGGAUCUCUUGGCUCUCGCAUCGAUGAAGAACGCAGCGAAUUGCGAUAAGUAAUGUGAAUUGCAGAUUUCCAGUGAAUCAUCGAAUCUUUGAACGCAUCUUGCGCUCCUUGGUAUUCUGAGGAGCAUGCCUGUUUGAGUGUCAUUGAAUUCUCAACCAUCUUCUCUUUCUUUGAGGGGGGGAUGGCUUGGAGUUGGGGGCUGCUGGCAGGGGGAACUGUCAGCUCUCCUUAAAUGCAUCAGCGAUCAAGUUGGCUAGUCUUUUGACGUGCACGGCUUUGGACGUGAUAAUGAUCGUCAUGGCUGGAGCGUCUUUCUAGUACAUCAGAUGGCUUCUAAUCUCAAGAGAAAGAGAGUGAUCGAGCUUUCCAAUGCCUACUAGGCAGUCUAAAUUAACGAGGCUGGCCGAACGCAGAGAGAGGCAAGAUCUAUCCCUCGACUCAGAUCUCAGAGACUUGACCUCAAAUCAGGUAGGACUACCCGCUGAAC
rnacentral:rRNA from 1 species